rnacentral:rRNA from 1 species
GGCGAACCGAGCGAACGUUGUUCGGAAUCACUGGGCUUAAAGGGCGCGUAGGCGGGUAUCCAAGUCUGUGGUGAAAUCCGGCAGCUUAACUGUCGAACUGCCAUGGAUACUGGGUAUCUCGAGGGAGGUAGGGGCGUGCGGAACUAUUGGUGGAGCGGUGAAAUGCGUUGAUAUCAAUAGGAACUCCGGUGGCGAAGGCGGCACGCUGGACCUCUUCUGACGCUGAGGCGCGAAAGCCAGGGGAGCAAACCGG